GGAGAUUGAAGGAGUUCUCAAACGAAUCAAGGCAACACUCCAGGUAUGUUUUUGAUGGUGGUAUAAUUUUAGAACACGAUAAAAAGCUAAUAAAAAAGAUGCUUUUUUAACACAAUACUGCCUAUUUAACAUCAUGUCAACUUUUGUAGACUUACUUGUUUUCAGCUAAACUACCAGAUAUAAAUGCCACGUAAACGUGGAAAAAAACAGACAAUUUCAUACAGAUGAAAACUGCUUUGAACAUGUUUAAAUAUAAUAUUUUAAAUAUUACCCAAAUCUGCGUCAAUGGAAUGCGGAAAAACUAAUGAGGCACAAACACAGUAGGUUUAAAGAGAGGCUGAUCAGAGACGCCGUAGCAGGUGUAGAUGUGAAUGUGUUUGUAUUAUAGAAAAUUAUGUGUGUGUGUGUGUGUGUGUGUGUGUGUGUGUGUGUGUGUGUGUGUGUGUGUGUGUGUGUGUGUGUGUGUGUGUGUGACUGGAAUGUUUUUAUGUGGGCCGUGGUUUUCUGAACAGCAUGGUGUCUCUGAGAUAUUCCUCUGAUUUAGAUGGGAAAGCAGUGGAAGGAGCUGGUGCUCAUCGUGUCACGAGAUCUUUCAUAAUGAAAUGAAAACAAUUCACUGAAGCUCAGCGGGAGGCAGACUGGAGGAGUCUGGCCCAUCAAAACACUUUUUUUCAUUUUGUACAAAAUGUUUUGUGCUUUUUAGCUAUUUCAUGGAUGCAUCGCUAAUAUUUUGGACGGCGUGACCCAAAUUACAGAUUUAAAGAGGAUACAGCAAAAGCAAGUGAGGUGGAUUAGCAGAGCUGGCCAACAACUGAUGAUGUCAUUCAGGAAAGUGAGCUGUGAAUAUGUUAAAAGAUUGUCAUACAGCAACACUCUUCAGCCAGAGGAGUUAAUAGUGUGAUGCAAAUGUAAACGGAUUUAGCAUGUAGAUGUUUUUUUUUUAAAGCAACAAAAGCCGAAUGUUUUAGCCCUGUAAAACACAUUUUUAAUGAAUUCUGAAAGAAAAAUUUAAUUGUCAUAGAAAACAUACACUAAGUCAGUAUUGAUCAUAAACAUUAGUUCCGCUAAUGCUAAAGAGCUACACCAACAUGGUAUUUCCUGACAGCUAAUGCUAAAGCCCUAAAUUCAGCCAUGUUGAAACCUCCCAUGUGUCUCAAGGAGAACGUGAAGUUCUCCUUGAGUUUUUCCACAUUGUCAAGUUAGAAACGUCAACGUGUCAUUUCAAGUUUUUUAGAGACAAAUCAAGAAAAAGUAGCAAAAAUGAUGAUGAGAAAAGUUCAACAUUGUCUUUCAGACUGAAUAGUAAUGCUUACUUUUUCAUUUUUUAUUUUUUACAUACAUUGAUAUGACUGGACAUUUCAGAUUUGUGUGUACUAUAAAAACCACAACGUAAAAUGAGUGUUUUAUUAGCCUGACUGUUUAUUACUGGACUAUUUGGAGUUCACACAUCAAGUUACCUUUAUUUACUAGUCUGUUGUAGACUGAGAAAUGAAAAGAUUCAUUUGUCUUUGUUGGGGUUUUCAGUUACCUUGAGUUCUAGUUUAGUGACACAUCAGUCAGAGAAAAGCGUCCAAACUGCAUCAACUCCUGAAAAAGCAGAACCACUGAGUGGGUCGUACUACUGUCUGAUUGUAAGGGGAAUUUGGUGUUUAUUUGUUGUUCAGUUUUUCUUCUUCUUUGGGCAGAUAGUCCCGACCCAAUGGGGCUUCCUAUAGGUUACUGAGUAGUACACUACUGACCUUUCUUUUUCAUCCUGUUAGAUUUUAUUUGGCAGAUUUUUGUGUCAACAGUCAGCCACUGUUCAAGGAUGGAGAGGACUAAAGUAUAUCUGAAGAUACUCGAAUGUAUGAUUUAUGACAUGUCAUUUCCCUUUUAGUUAAAUGAAGCAUUUUUGUGUUGGUCACUUUGUGCCCUUGUUCUCCGUGUUCCUGUCUGAAUUGAUGUCUGCUAUGUUGACCUCUGUUUUGCCCCCCUCUUAUUUUUGAUAUAGUUUUGACACUUUUCCAAAUAAACUAAAAGUCUAUUAGAAAGCAACUUGUCGUGUUUCUCUGGCUGGUUUGUGCCUGUUGAAACCAGAUAUUUACAUAACCUGAGUGUAGCUCGUGGAGGGAAUAUCAAAAGGUCAUACAGUUCAAACGACCUUGAUGUGUAACAUUCGAAUUCAAUGAAAGUUACAAAAAAGUAAUUCUAAAAAAAAAAUGUAUGACCACCUUUUCUAGCUUUUUAGCAAAUAGACAUAAUUUUGGUAUUUCUAACUAAGCUAAAUCAAGAAAGGCUUGGUCAGGUUUAACUUCAAACAGUAAGAAAAAAAUGUUUGUGUCUUUUUAGUCCGUUUAUGUUUAUAUCUGGUUUCAACUGCAUCUACCACUUUUGCAUGUGUUGAGACUGGAUUUUCUGCCCCUUUGUAAAUGAAGACUACAAUCUUCUUACAUCCAUAAAACACAGACAGAAGUCAGCAUACAGUCAUUCAGGUUUUAUUCCAGAAUAACAAACAGAAUCAGUUUCUCCAGCCUGUGUCGUCAUGGUAGGUCUGAUAUGUGAACAUGAUUGUCGGAGGCAUCUCAAACACAAGCCCCAUCAACAAAAAGUCAUCAUCAUCAUCGUCGUCGUUAUCAUCAUCCCACCACAAUAAAUGCAGCAGGCGGCGCCCGCUCCGGUGUCGUCAACGCGACAAUGAUGCACAAGAUGGGAGUUUGUUGUGGUCACAUGCAGAGAGUAAAUACGGCCGGCUAGCUAGCUGAGCUGGCUCUGGACGAGGACAACCACAGAGAGACACAGGGCCCCGGCUAACAGCAGAGAAAGUUUCAGUCCAAACUCUUCUCAAAGACAGAGCUCCUACAUCCUGCAGGGCUUUCAUCACAUUUUGUAUGUCUGAUAAUGAAACUAUUGAAGGGAUAAUUUGGAAUUUGUAAAGUGAAAAUCUGUUAAAACCUUAUAAGGAAUGAGCUAGCUGUUUACAACUACUAUCUCCAAAAUGUAAUAGGGGUUUAAGCUAGUGCUAUUUUAUGAACCUUUCUAUAGUUCUGAUGUUUUUAUUAAGCAGUAACUUCCAAAGAGGUCAAUGACUAUUUACAGGUGAACAGGAAGUAAAAGACGGUAUGCCAACAGUAAUCUUCCUGAACUGAGAGGAGAACACCUGUUUACAGUCAGAGUAACUGCCUGUCCACAACAUAAAGGUCACUCAAGCAAGUAUAACAUUUUAAAAAAAUGUUUUUCUGCCUUUAUACCUAAGGAAGCGUUCAACAGACAGAGCCUCCAAAAUCAGGAUCAUUAGCUUAUUAAAACGAGAAAACUUUAUUCUUUGAACUAGAUUUGACAAACUUGUUACACGAUUUAUAUCUCAUUAAAAACAAAAUAUAUUAUUUUAUAUUAAGAAAGGUUGUAGAGUAAAACAACAUCCAGAAGAAACGGCAUGAGAAGAAGGAGUCACGGCGAGCCCCUUUAUGCCUUUUCAACCGAGGAGCAUAUUUUUAUAUCACAUUAAAAUGAAAAUUUUUGUUAUGAUGGGACGUUAUAACAAAGAGAUACUGUUAAUGAAUUUAUUUCCAAGUUUCAGCAGUUAAAUGCUUCUGUAUAUCAGGCAGCUGCUCCAAGUGGAAAAAUGUUACAUGUUCACUUCUCAGUUCAUGUUUCAUGUGGGAAAAUUAUUACAGGUGCACCCCUUUCACCUUUAAUAAGGUAGCAGUUUCUGCGCAACCACCCAGUGUAAUUUGAGCUUUAGCUUGAUGUCAGAGUAGGGAACAAGAUUAUUUCUUCUGCUCGUUUCUUUUUUCCAUCUUCUUUGACUAGGUGUACAUUCUCAAUAUUUUGUUUCACUAACUUGACAAGAACCUCAGCAGCAAACAAACUGUAUGAAGCCACCUUCAUAUCAGCACAAUGUCCGGAUGCUCACCUAAAUCAGCGAAAAGUAAGUAAAUCUCCCAUUGAGUCAUUAGUUUUUUCUAUAAAAAGGAAGGCAAGAUAGAAGUGCAUGCUAAUGCUAAGGAGUCAACUACAAUUAAAUACCAAAUAAUUUUGACACCUUGUCUUUGUAUCCUUUCAGUACCGUUGCUAGCUAACACAUGCUAAUUUUUCUAAAUUUCCAAUGUUGGCCUCCUAAGCUAGCCAAACGACUGAAAAUGCUUCUGUUUUUAGCCACUCCCUGACCAAAAACUGCUGGUGAAAAAGAAACUGUGCGUGUUAAAAGGGAAUAUGACUACACAGCUACUGAGUCAGUUGGGUGAGGGACCCUCAGCAGCUGUUUCCAUUAAAAAUGUGCGCAAAACUUUGUCAAUAUUCCACUAAUGUCGAAAAAAACUAAUUUGCAAUUGCAGUGUUUUACGUUAAGUAAGACACAAUUAAAAUAACACGUAAAUAAGUCAUUAAAAAACAUCACUACCUUCAUCACUACCAAUUGUCUUAAGUCUGCAGACAGGACCAGCCAAAUAAAACCAUGACUUAUUUUUCCUUCUGGUGCCCAUUCUAGACAUGCUGCACCUUUAAAUUGAGUCACAAACUUUUACAUAUUACAACCAGCCUUCAAGUUUAUUAUUGAAAGCUGGUGACAUAGACCAACACAAAAACAUACAGAAUUAUGAAGUGGAUGCAAAACCUAUUUAACUAAUUAGGUUAUUUUAUUUAGGGGCUUCAGAGUAUGUAAAUGCAUACCAAAUUUGCUAAGUGUUUGAAAAACUGGAAACCAUUUCUCAUUCUCUGUUCACUUCAUAGUCAUUCAUCACUUUGUGUUGGUCUGUGACAUAAAAUCCCGAUUCGAUCUGUGGAUGUUUGUGAUUGUAGCGCAACAAGACAGGGAAAAGUUCAAGGCGUAUGAAUAUCUUUGCAUUAAGGUGGUUAUUGGAAUGCAGGCGGAGAACAGUUGCUCAAACAAGCAACUUAAAAAAAAUAUUUUAAAUUUCCAAUGUUUUAGUCAUUUUUCUUUGUAUAAACUCUAGUUUGAUAUAUUUAUGAGUUAUUCAGUAAAAAUACCUGAACACUCUGCCUGUUCAUAGGACUGAAACUCUUCCUCUGCUAUUUGAGGGCUCAUGCAUAUCAAACUGUGUAUAUCUUUACACAAUACAGAGAUAGUAACACCGUAACAAGGGCAUAUAAGAUGAUGCAAACACUCAAUGUGAGACUGAAUUCUAGAAGCACUUUUUCUCCCCAACAUGCUUGUGUUUUUUUUUCUGUGUGCGGUGGUGCACUUCUGCGGCAUCUUCAUUAAAAAAAAAAAAGAACAAAAAAAAAAUCAAAGGAGAGUGAGUUCAAAACAGUCCAUAACAGUGUGUUUCUGAGUCGAUCACAGCUUUGGAUUUCUUCCUUUAGAAUGGAAAAAAUAAAAAAAUAAAAUAAAAUAAAAAUAAAAAACAAAUCAUACGCCUGAGUUCUGUAAGUGAUGCUGUUUCUGUUCGGCUGGACGGACGCUGACGGUGUUUCUGAAAACUUACAGCAGCGAGGAAGUAAAGGGGAGUUCAGCUUUUUUUUCUCCUUUUUUUGUUGUUUUAACAUUAAACAUUCCAUAGAUGAUACAAUCAGCUUCCCUCAUCCAUUCACAAACUCCUCAACCACAGAUUCCAUAAAUAUCUCCAAAAAGAUCAUUUAUAUUCACAAUCUAUUUACAGUAGCAUGAUUAAUGUGAAAAAAAAAAGAUUCAUUCAGAUGUUUGUUUUUUUUUUAAACAAAAACAAAACAAAAACAGCGGACAUAAAAACAUGAGGAGCAUGAUCCUCCGUUUCCUCUCAGCUGAUAGUCUACAGCCUGGACAUCACAUUGAAUGUCAGAUGAACACAAAACAUGAAUUGGUGGCUUCAUUAACAUCCCUAUGUGUGGGAAUUACACUUUAUCUAAACAAAAUCUACCUUAUUUAGGAGCAAUUAGUGAGGAAUUUCUAUUCUAUUUUAUUCUAAAAGGUAAAUGUUUGAAAUGGUCGAACACGUAACAGGGAAUCUGUUUUGCACUUCCUACCAGAGCUGCUAAUCUUUGCAUUUUCUGGUCCUGCAUUUAAGAAAAAGUAGAGAAAACAGUAUAGUUUAAAACAAAAAAACAAAAAAAACAAAUGCAUAGCAAUCAACUGUAACACAUACGGUCACAGCAAUUAAUCAGAUUAAGGUGAUCAUUUGACUAAAGCCCUUAGAAGUUCCCCUCGGUUAUGCAGAAACACACAACAAACGCAUUUUUCGGGAUUUUCUAUAGAAAAAUGGAACCAGAAAAAAAAAACUAUGGGGGAAAAACUGGGAAUCAUUUUUUGGAUUUUUUUUCUUUCUGAGAACACACCGAACACUGCCAUGUCUAAUUACCGUCUUCAAUUCUGAGUGGAGACGUGUUGCAUUGGAAACAGCAUGAAGUAAAUCAGCUGUUCAAGAUAUAAAUGUCAUAUUAUUGGAGGUAUGUUGCAUAAUUGUGUUGAAAUGAUACAGUAAAUGAAACGUGUGUGUGUGUGAGUGAAUGAGGCCUUUUGUAUUAAUUAGUUUGAGUGGGAGGUAUAUUUUCUAAAUUAUAGACCAAUUUAAUAUAAAGUAUUAACAUUUAGAAUUAACUUAUUUAUGGACAUUGUAGCCAGAAUAAUAAUGUCGAUGUCCAACAUCAACAUUUUAAUGCCAUUAAAAUGCUUCCAGAAUGACUUUAACUCUAUUCUGGGCUGUCAAAGGCAUUAGAAGUUUCUGUUAAAAUAUGGCAAGCAGUUAACAAUUUAACUGAAUUAGGUAACUUUCUUUGGGUCUUCAUACAGUAUGCAAAUAAGCUAGUCUGAGACAGGAAAUGACCAAAGCCCAAUUUGACCAUUUUAAAAAGACUCCAACGUGAAAAGCCUCAAAGCGGUUCAUGUAAUAAACUUUUAAACUUUUCUUACGCCUCGUCAAAAAAACAAAUGUGGACUUCCACCAUGUUAAAAUAUCUCACAAUUAGAGGUUGUGUGUUACCAUUAAACAGAACAUUACUGAAAAAAAUAAAUAAAUGAAAAAUCUUAACUGUCCCGUGAAAAAUUGUGUUUAACAUUUAGUAGUACUGGUACAUAUUUGCAAAAUAGCCACUGAAAUCCUGCAGACCGUCAACCGUUUCCUGUUAUGGAAACACAGCGAUUCUUUACCUACACACACAGAAUAAUGACCUUAAACCUUAAAAGAAGAGUUUUAGCAUUAAUUAAAAAAAAAAAAUUCAGCAAAG